rnacentral:lncRNA from 1 species
GUUUCUUAUAUAUGUGAGCUAUUUGAUUGCCUCAAAAUAUUUUCUCUCACAUAUAAUUGAGUGAUUAUAAGCUUUUAAGCAUUGUCUUGAAUUCUGAGAGAAGAAAGAGUGGAUAUACCUUGUGAGGAUAUGAAUCAUACUUGUUCGAAGCAUGCUUAACAGAAACCAUCACCAUUGUCACAACCAAGUCCUACUUGUGAGAUUUCUGAGACAAAAAGUUGAAGGGCAAUAGAGUCAUUGUUUUUGUAGAGUCUUUAAUUUUCGUUGAGUGUUAGUGUGUGUCUUAGUGUGAUUUUGCUAAGGGACUAGCAAAAGCUAAGUGUGGGGGAAUUUGAUAGGAGCAUUUUAAUGCGACGUUUUACUUGCUUUUCCCUACAUUUCUUGCGUUAUUUCCUUAUUAAAACCCUGUUUAGGAAAGUUUUCAUUCUUUGAUUGGGAAAGUUCCUAUUUGUAGAAAGUUUCUAUUUUUAUAGUUUCUAUUUAUCAUUUUUAGU